UGUCUUGUAGUAUAAUACCCUUAAUUACUGUAAACUGCAACUUUACCAAAGCCUAUAGUGCCAAGACAU
rnacentral:tRNA from 1 species